rnacentral:tRNA from 1 species
GGCAUGGGUGGCGCAGCGGUCAGCACUGCUGCCUCGCCAGAAGGUUCUGGGUUCGAGUCCCGGCCGGCCG